rnacentral:tRNA from 1 species
GCGUCGAUAGCUCAGUUGGUAGCAGCGUAAGACUGAAGUUCUUAAGGUCCUCGGUUCAAACCCGAGUCGACGCA